AUGGCGGCGCCCAGCAGGGGAAGACGGGUUGUGGGACCGAGGCAGCACACAAAGCAACCUGUAGCCAAGCAAAGGAUGCCCAACCGGCCUGGCAUGGAGCGGAGAGUGCACGAGGGGUGUGGGGUAAGUGGUGAAAAUGCCGUCGGGGACAGACUGCCGCCGUCGUCAGAUUUUGACCUGGAGUCGAACGGCGAGGGGAUGAUGAUAGGGAAAGCGAGGAAGGCAGGAAGAGGGCACUUGGAGGAGAAACACAUCAUCCACCCUGUGCCCGUGCUUCAGCCGCGAUGGUGGACGGUUGUGGGGAAAUCCGAGGUCUGCACGUGGAUCUACUACUCGGGAUGUCAUGACAUGGUUUUUGUGCAGUGA
rnacentral:rRNA from 1 species